AGUAUGGUACUAAAGUUAUUUUUUGUCUGAAUUGCCGCGGUCACUCUAACAUUCGACGAAAAGUGAAAGUGUACAAAAGUGAAGCAUUUACAUAAGUUGUGUAUUUUUUUUUUGCAAAUGACUGCACUACACCAAGUAAAAUGGCUGUCAAAGAUGCCGAACUGGGCAAGUUGGCGUCCACCACUUCGCUGGAAAACUUCUAUCGAGGACAGAAGAAGGACUUCCUGGCGCUGAUGCAAAGCUGCAGGAGGCAUCCGAGUACAGCGUGAUCGGUCAUUUAUUGCUAAGUCCUGGAAUUAUUUUUAGAAUUGAUCCGAAAUAUAUAAAAAAUAAAUAUUUACAGCGA